rnacentral:lncRNA from 1 species
CAGGGGUGGCAGGGGGGUGGCACUGAGAUGUCACCUGUCACCCACCCCCGUGGGGCGCUGCCUCAAUGGAGCUCCUUGUGCCGCUGUGGUGCCACCCCGGUGCCAAUCCCACUCGUGGGGACACAGAUGCCGCAUUGUCCCGGCCUCGGGGACACGUGGGGACACCGAGGGGACACCGAGGGGACACCGAGGGGCUCGCUGCGGGUGGGGGGGGUGGGGCAGCUCUGCUCAUCCCGGGAUUUUGGGGAGGGGGAUGGGAGGGGCGGGAUUCCCGAGAUUCCUGGGAUUCCUGGGAUUCCUGGAUUUCGGGAUUCCGGGAUUUUGGGAUUUCAGGAUGCCGGGAUUCCGGGAUUUUGGGAUUCCCGGGAUUUCGGGAUUUCGGGAUUUUGGGAUUCCCGGGAUUUUGGGAUUCCCGGAUUCCCGAGAUUUGAGGAUUUGGGGAUUCCGGGAUUUCCGGGAUUCCGGGAUUUUGGGAUUCCCAGGAUUUCGGGAUUCCCGGAUUCCAGGAUUUUGGGAUUCCCAGGAUUCUCAGGAUUCCCAGGAUUUUGGGAUUUCAGGAUUUUGGGAUUCCCGGGAUUUCGGGAUUCCUGGAUUCCAGGAUUCCCGAAAUUUUAGGUUUUGGGGAUUUCGGGAUUUCGGGAUUUUGGGAUUUCAGGAUUUUGGGAUUCCCGGGAUUCCGGCAUUCCCGGGAUUUUGGGAUUCCGGGAUCUCGGGGCCGUCACAGCGCCGCCAGCGCGGCCGAGGACAGCACGGUCAGGGCCAGCACCAGCAGCCCCGACUGCGUCACCUGCGGCAGCUUCAGCCCCUUGCCCAGGUCCCAGGCCUGCGGAGACAGCGGGGACAGCGGCGUCACUUUGU